AAGCUCCAUCUCAGGAUCUUCCCUGGAGAGUUGCCAGUACUCUACCAGCUUUGGCUACGGGAGCAAAAGUCAAGCAGAGGCCUACCCAUUCCAUUUCUAGCUUGGGCAGUGGCUAGCAAGUGGAAGGCAAUCUGCUACUGGU